CCUACGGGGGGCAGCAGUCGAGAAUCAUUCACAAUGGGGGAAACCCUGAUGGUGCGACGCCGCGUGGGGGAAUGAAGGUCUUCGGAUUGUAAACCCCUGUCAUGUGGGAGCAAAUUAAAAAGAUAGUACCACAAGAGGAAGAGACGGCUAACUCUGUGCCAGCAGCCGCGGUAAUACAGAGGUCUCAAGCGUUGUUCGGAAUCACGGGGCGUAAGGGGUGCGUAGGCUGUUGCGUAAGUCGUGUGUGAAAGGCGCGGGCUCAACCCGCGGACGGCACAUGAUACUGCGAGACUAGAGUAAUGGAGGGGGAACCGGAAUUCUCGGUGUAGCAGUGAAAUGCGUAGAUAUUGAGAGGAACACUCGUGGCGAAGGCGGGUUCCUGGACAUUAACUGACGCUGAGGCACGAAGGCCAGGGGAGCGAAAGGGAUUAGAUACCCUUGUAGUC
rnacentral:rRNA from 1 species